rnacentral:rRNA from 1 species
ACGCUGGCGGCGUGCUUAACACAUGCAAGUCGAACGGAAAGGCCCUGCUUUUGUGGGGUGCUCGAGUGGCGAACGGGUGAGUAACACGUGAGUAACCUGCCCUUGACUUUGGGAUAACUUCAGGAAACUGGGGCUAAUACCGGAUAGGAGCUCCUGCUGCAUGGUGGGGGUUGGAAAGUUUCGGCGGUUGGGGAUGGACUCGCGGCUUAUCAGCUUGUUGGUGGGGUAGUGGCUUACCAAGGCUUUGACGGGUAGCCGGCCUGAGAGGGUGACCGGCCACAUUGGGACUGAGAUACGGCCCAGACUCCUACGGGAGGCAGCAGUGGGGAAUAUUGCACAAUGGGCGGAAGCCUGAUGCGGCAACGCCGCGUGCGGGAUGACGGCCUUCGGGUUGUAAACCGCUUUCGCCUGUGACGAAGCGUGAGUGACGGUAAUGGGUAAAGAAGCACCGGCUAACUACGUGCCAGCAGCCGCGGUGAUACGUAGGGUGCGAGCGUUGUCCGGAUUUAUUGGGCGUAAAGGGCUCGUAGGUGGUUGAUCGCGUCGGAAGUGUAAUCUUGGGGCUUAACCCUGAGCGUGCUUUCGAUACGGGUUGACUUGAGGAAGGUAGGGGAGAAUGGAAUUCCUGGUGGAGCGGUGGAAUGCGCAGAUAUCAGGAGGAACACCAGUGGCGAAGGCGGUUCUCUGGGCCUUUCCUGACGCUGAGGAGCGAAAGCGUGGGGAGCGAACAGGCUUAGAUACCCUGGUAGUCCACGCUGUAAACGGUGGGUACUAGGUGUGGGGUCCAUUCCACGGGUUCCGUGCCGUAGCUAACGCUUUAAGUACCCCGCCUGGGGAGUACGGCCGCAAGGCUAAAACUCAAAGGAAUUGACGGGGCCCCGCACAAGCGGCGGAGCAUGCGGAUUAAUUCGAUGCAACGCGUAGAACCUUACCUGGGUUUGACAUGGAUCGGGAGUGCUCAGAGAUGGGUGUGCCUCUUUUGGGGUCGGUUCACAGGUGGUGCAUGGCUGUCGUCAGCUCGUGUCGUGAGAUGUUGGGUUAAGUCCCGCAACGAGCGCAACCCUUGUUCACUGUUGCCAGCACGUUAUGGUGGGGACUCAGUGGAGACCGCCGGGGUCAACUCGGAGGAAGGUGGGGAUGACGUCAAGUCAUCAUGCCCCUUAUGUCCAGGGCUUCACGCAUGCUACAAUGGCUGGUACAGAGAGUGGCGAGCCUGUGAGGGUGAGCGAAUCUCGGAAAGCCGGUCUCAGUUCGGAUUGGGGUCUGCAACUCGACCUCAUGAAGUCGGAGUCGCUAGUAAUCGCAGAUCAGCAACGCUGCGGUGAAUACGUUCCCGGGGCUUGUACACACCGCCCGUCAAGUCAUGAAAGUUGGUAACACCCGAAGCCGGAGGCCUAACCGUUGUGGGGGAGCCGUCGAAGGUGGGACUGGUA